rnacentral:rRNA from 1 species
UACGUAGGGUGCAAGCGUUGUCCGGAAUUAUUGGGCGUAAAGGGCGCGUAGGCGGCGUGACAAGUCACUUGUGAAAUCUCCGGGCUUAACUCGGAACGGUCAAGUGAUACUGUCGUGCUAGAGUACAGAAGGGGCAACUGGAAUUCUCGGUGUAGCGGUGAAAUGCGUAGAUAUCGAGAGGAACACCUGCGGCGAAGGCGGGUUGCUGGGCUGAUACUGACGCUGAGGCGCGAAAGCCAGGGGAGCGAACGGG